ACGAGGGGUGCAAGCGUUGUUCGGAAUCACUGGGCGUAAAGAGAGCGUAGGUGGAUGAUCAAGUCAGAUGUUUAAUUUCAAGGCCUAACCUUGGGUAUGCAUUUGAAACUGGUCGUCUUGAAUAGUUCAGGGGCUGAUGGAAUACUUGGUGUAGCGGUGGAAUGCGUAGAUAUCAAGUGGAACACCAAUGGCGAAGGCAAUCAGCUGGGGACAUAUUGACACUGAGGCUCGAAAGCGCGGGUAGCAAACAGG
rnacentral:rRNA from 1 species